GAGGGGUGUUGAAACGCAUGGAAGAGCAGGAAGAAACACGGACGAGCGGUGAUGAACUGCAACUGUGUGCGUGUAACAGCACCAAACGGCAUGUGACGACGUACAGUGUGUGGAUGUGUGUGUGAAAUUUUAGGCAGCGAAGAUGGAUCGAGGUUAUGUUUUCAAAGUGAAAGAGUUUGAUGCAGAAGCGUCUUUGUUAUAAACAUGUAUUUUAUUUGCAUAAUUCCAGUGUUAAAGUUUGUAAUGUGAACUUAAAAGUAAUGACCAAUGGUGCUAUUCACUUGUGUGCUGUUGGCGAAUAUUGAAGCGUUAAAAUAUUGAAGCUUCCUAUGAUAGUUUGUUGUGCUUAGUGUGAAGCAAAAAUGUGUGCUAAAGUGUAAUAAAUUAGAAAAAUGUAUACGUAUCCGUCUAAUGUUUGGUUGUACCUAUCUAAUUUUCCAUAUUUUCGGGUGUCCUUAUCGUUUACCAGGAGAAAACGAUAGAUGGAGGUUAGAUACGUGCAGCUAUUUGCCUCCGCAGGAAGGUAUGUUAAUUAAAGUUGUUGUAUUUGUAAUUUUUCAUUACGCUGCAAUUAAAUAACUAAUCGGAUAAAAUUUGCCGUUUAACAUUAUGAAUAAUCGAUGUUAUCAGUGUUCUUCAGAAGUGUUCCAAGCUGUCCGAAGACACACAAAUCUGCAAUCCACAAUCCAAGCACACAAAUCCGAUUCACCUCGUAUGCACCCAGCGGAUUUCAUGCAAAGGAUAUUGGAAAGCCAUCAAAGAAGUGGGCAGUGACGGAAGUGACGGAAAGGACACUUUGAUUCUUUUUACUUUUAGAUUUCUUAUCCUUAUUUUUGUUUACACCAACCUUGGAUCGUCGGCGCGGGCCUUAUGGGAACUGCGCGGUUAGAGCAACAACCGGAUGAGCAUUUUGUUGCCGGCGGAAAUUGUCUCAAGUUUGGGAAUUGAAGAGAGUUACAGCACACUGUGAACAUCGUUGUAAACAAUCGAUGGUAACAUUUAUAUAUAGCUUAUGAAUGCAUGUGUUUAUCUAAUUAUUCAUUAAUUUGUUUAUUUAUAAAUUUGAGCGUUAGCGCUCCAGCGACAUAUAUUUUUUGUUGUUCUUUUUAGAAAAUUGCUCUAACGGAACAGCUUAUCCCGGCCUUUCUCGGGUUUAGUUGCUGUUGCUUGACCGCGACGAUUGACACCAGAGCAUGCUAUGGUCGUAUUGUCGUCGUGUAAUCGUGUUAUUGGUGUUAACGCGCUUUGUUUAUAUCUAUUCAGAUGCAACAGCAUUAUUUAUUUUCCGGAAUAUGGUUAGCGUUGUUCCUCCUAAUAAGACGGAAUACGUUUGAAAUUAGCACCUGUGUCAAUCGUCAAACGGUUGGCAAUAAAGUACAAUAAAUGAUAGGAGCAAAAACGCGAUGGCUGUUAGUGAUUUGCGAAAUGAAACCAACAGCCAUUUUACAUUUUUUAUCUUAAACAAGUCCUAUCUUAACCCCUGAAAACUACCAAAGCUACAAUUUUUCAUUUCAUUUGUCAUUCAUCAUUCUAUUUAGAAAAGAAUAGAUAAAAGGUGUAAUAUACUAUCAAUAGGACAUUACAAUUAAAAAUGGAAAAGCAAUGUGUUUAGCAAUAAAUAAUAUGUAAUAUAUAUAUAUAUACAGCAACUGUGAAUAGGUAGAGCAAUUUAACUAAAUAAAUUUAUUUUUAUUUAUUCCUUCUAUGGCAGCUUGUUUUAACAUUUCCCUGCAUGUUUACUCUUGCCGGUGCAUGAGUCAGUUUUCUUUUUAAAUAUUCUUUAUCUAUGUCUAUUCCCACGUGGUUUGUGGCGAUAGACUUAAAUAAGCACUGUAUUUGGGUAGUUACUAAAAGCUAUUUUUUCCUGACGAUCCUUCCCAGGUACACCGUGCAAGAAAAGUCCCAUCAAACAACACGUCUAAAGCCUCAUGCAUCCUGUUGUUGGCAUCCUGGCUGCUGAUAUCUGCAUCUAUUAUUUAAGUAGAACUGCCAAAUGCAAAAUCAUCUCCAGCUAUUUUUGCUUCAAAUGCAUCAAACUUUUGUUCAUUUUCGAUUUUUUCUAUUGCUAAACUCUGCGCAUUUCUUCUUAUACCCUUCAUAGGAUUCAGUAUUGUGAACUGCUCAUUUUAAAAUCACCAUUAUCUGUGCGCUGCGUGCAUCUAUUUUCAUUAUCAGCAUCCGACAACGAAGGCAGCAGCUUCCAGAAUGCUCUGUAGAAGUAAUUGAAAAGACUGCUUGAUUUGCUCCUGCUGCAGUCUGGUGUUCAUCGUCGAUGAUCAUCAUUAUUGGUGACGAAGGCAGCACAGGCAAAUUUAUCACAACAGGACCAGUUGCUCGUUCAGUCGUUAUGUACGUUAUGCGCUUGUCGAUGGCACUUAAUUACCACCAUCAACUAUCUUGCCUGGCGGACGGAUCUGGCUAGAAACACAGAUCCUCUAGGAGCCGCUAUCACCGAUGCAGAAGCACUGGUGGGUAAUUGUUGUCUUACAACAGCGGACAUCAUACCACGCUGAUUCUUCGGAGCAUGAACUUCGACAAGCGAUGCAAUCGAUGGUACUGCAGAUCCCGCCAAUGCCUGUUGUCUACCGAUCUUCAUGCCUGAUUCCUGGGGUAGAGCAUCAGCAACCGGUACCACUGAUGGCGCAGCAGUACUAGUUGACGGUUGCUGUCCAUGUUGCUGGCCUAACGGACGGAAUGGUGCAAGAACACCAGGUAAUGUGGACCGAUGAUGAUUAUCAUCACCGGCAUUCGAGACCAGCGCUGACACUUCAUCCGUUACCUUCAGCUGUUGAACAACACGGACUGGCAUUCUUUGUUGACUCGCGCUGACCGGCCACUGAAACCACCGAAGGCACUGCACUUGUUGUCGGAAGUUGUCCAACAACACGGACCGGCAAUCUGGGAGGACGGAUAGCACGAGGAAUGGCAACCGGAACCACCGAUGGCACUGCACUUGUCGUCGGAAGUUGUCCAACAAGCUACUGACGAAGCUACUUAUCACAUACCCGCGUUUUAUGUCCCCAUUCUUGGUGUUUCCGGGUUACUCGCCAUCGCGCUGUAGUCGGAUCAUACUGCACCUGUCCUGCUUCGAUUAAUGCCUCCCCAAAGAUAAAAUUAGAGCACGCGUUCCUAUUCCUCAUCCUCCGGCGCUGUCUGGAGAAUGUGGGAGUCACUGCUCUAUAAAAACCACCGGACUACCACAAACUGGAAACAGCGGAAAACCCCAUGGGUCACCGGCCACCAUGCUAAAUUGAAGCAAAGUUGAACUAAUCUGCCGUGCGAAAUAGCAAAAUAAAUAUUUCAUUUUAAUGUUUUGUUAAGCUAAACUGACAUUAUAUUUUUAAUCUAAAACGUUUUAGAUGUGUUUUUUCUCAUCGCGUUUAGGCGUCGUGUAUCAGAUUGCAACUGCUAAUAAUUUCGUCGUCUGAGGCGGACUGUUAUGGAGGUACCAAAUCUUCAGUGAUGAUGAAUGCGUUCACGCUUCUACGAGCCGGUAAUUGGCGGUAUCCAGAUUAUCGUCGUACUGUUAGCUUACCUAAGCUACCGAAAUUAACGACAGUGUAAAAUCUGUGCUGUGAGAAUUACGAAUGGUCGUGGUAGACCUAACGCGUCUGCAAGGCGAUAAUUGCGCUCUGAAAAUGCUAGCACAGAUGUUUGGGCCACAGAGGUGACGUUCCGAGAUUGUAAAAACAUGCCGGGCCCACAGGUACGCAACAACCGCGCCCAAAUCUAUGGCAUAGCAUUGAGUGUUAGCUCGUCCGCUAGCACCGGUUACACUGGUGCGGGUAGGAAGCGUGCAAAUGAAAAAAAUCUGUAAAAAUGUCCCCCUUAUUCCUUUUUUCAGAUAAGCCGUUCUCAUCAAUGCCGUACCAUGUACGGUCGGCUAGUUACACUUCAUCACGAAGGACAAUCACAUCUAGGUAACGGAAUGCUGCCAAAACGAUGAAGCUGGCUUAGUCCUCGAUGACGACGCAACUCCUGUACGUUCGUCGUCAUACUAUCAUUUCAACUGGAGGCAUGUUUGUUUAGGCGGCUACAACAAAUUGUUUAAACAUGUUUAAUGAAACAAACAUGUUGUUUUGGCUUCUCACAAUUACUGGUGAAUGCUGGAAAUCUCCGUGAUAGCCGUUUUCGUGCGCUGAAUUAGGUUUGUAUGAAAAAUAGUGUAUUUUUAGAAUAUUUAAUUAUCAAUAAAAUAACGGUCGAUUUGAAAA